rnacentral:rRNA from 1 species
UACGGAGGGGGCUAGCGUUGUUCGGAAUUACUGGGCGUAAAGGGCGCGUAGGCGGCCUGAUAAGUAGGGGGUGAAAUCCUGCGGCUUAACCGCAGGGCUGCCUUCUAAACUGUCAGGCUUGAGCACAGUAGAGGCAGGUGGAAUUCCCGGUGUAGCGGUGGAAUGCGUAGAGAUCGGGAAGAACAUCAGUGGCGAAGGCGGCCUGCUGGGCUGUUGCUGACGCUGAGGCGCGACAGCGUGGGGAGCAAACAGG